UACGUAGGGGGCAAGCGUUGUCCGGAAUUAUUGGGCGUAAAGAGCGCGUAGGCGGUCCGAUAAGUCGGCUGUGAAAGUCAAGGGCUCAACCCUUGAAAGCCGGCCGAUACUGUCGGACUAGAGUCCGGAAGAGGCAAGUGGAAUUCCCGGUGUAGCGGUGAAAUGCGCAGAUAUCAGGAGGAACACCGAUGGCGAAGGCAGCUCGCUGGGACGGUACUGACGCUGAGGCGCGAAAGCGUGGGGAGCGAACAGG
rnacentral:rRNA from 1 species